rnacentral:rRNA from 1 species
AGCGGAGAAAAUGCAUAAAUGGAGUAAAUUGAAGGUUAUGGAAAAGAUCUGGAAUCCUAACAUUAAUCGACAAUUGGAUGAAGCAGAUACCAUCAUAGAAGCUAGUGAAGAUGGGAUGAAGGAGUUUGCGAGUACUAACUAUGCAAACUGGAGGAGAUCUGUGGAGAUACAGAGAUGGAUGGCCCUCCCCUGUCAAGGGGAAGGUGUGCAUUAUUAUAAGAAUGAUAGUGCAUCAAAUAAUUGGUUGACAAAAUUAUCUUUUAUGAAGAAGUUGAAAGUCAUUAAUUCGAUUUUGUUGCGAACUAAUUUAUUUCCAACGCGGGCGUCUUUGUCUUAUGGCAGGCCUUUUAACAUUAAGAAUUGCAGCAGAUGUAAUGACAUUUCGGAAACUUUCGUGCAUAUUUCUGGAUGGUGCCCUUACGUCAAGAAAAUGAGAUUUAAAAGGGACAAUAGGUUAGCUGAAGAACUAGUUAGUUUUAUUAGGAAAAACGGGUGGACUAUAUAUAUAGAGCCGCGAGUUAAAGAUACGUCCGGAAAACUGUGGAUCCUGGACUUAAUCUUUAAGAAGGAACAACAAAUCGUGAUGGUGUACGUGACAGUCAGAACGGGCCUUCAAAUAAACUCCCUCGAAUUGGCUUGGGAGGAGAAGAUAAAGAAAUAUAGUCACUUAGGUAAAGAGAUAAUGGACCUCAUUGGUGGAGGAAAGAUAUCUUUUUAUGAGUUUGUGCUGGGAGCUCGAGGGUAGUGGUUUGAGAAGAAUUCGGCGUUGAAAGGCCUCGGGAUUGCAAAAUUUAAAUCAUUUGCACAAAAUAUCACAAACCUAACUUUAUCUUUGGCCCUCGAACUUUUAAAGAUUUUCAUGGACUCUUAAUAUCGCCGAUCAACGUAUUUUAUUAAAUAGUUUAAAUAGUGUGGUUUUAAAUUUUUUUAUACAUGUUUUACUGGUUUAAAUAGUAUUUUGAAUAGUUUUAAUCGCUAAUUUUAAUUUAGAGUUAAAUUUUAAGAUUUUAUGAAUAAAAUUGUACUGUUUUCGAUCACUUAGGUUAAUUGGUGGUGGGUAAUUUUAGGUGUUAAUUCAUUAAAGUGCACACUACACGCAACAAGGGAUGAGUGGUAACAUUGUCCAACGGUUGAUAACCUUAGCUCAUCCCUCGCCUCGCUGAAACUCUGCUUCACAACGUCUUUUAGACUUUGAACUUUUUUUAUUUUCUUUUACCGUCUCCUUUUAGAUCUUCUGACUGUAGUUUCGCUGCAUACGGGUAUUUCAAUUGUCGACGAGCGACAUUAAAAUCUCGGAAAGACAUGAUUCAUCGCGUAUGGUGAGUGCAUCAAAUAGGCAAAUGCCUAGUGACGCACAUGAAUGGAUGAACGAGAUUCCCACUGUCCCUACCUACUAUCUAGCGAAACCACAGCCAAGGGAACGGGCUUGGCAGAAAAAGCGGGGAAAGAAGACCCUAUUGAGCUUGACUCUAGUCUGGCACUGUGAAGAGACAUGAGAGGUAUAGAAUAAGUGGGAGGCUUCGGCCGCUGGUGAAAUACCACUACUCUUAUCGUUUUUUCACUUACCCGGUGAGGCGAGCCCUAAGGGGCUCUCGUUUCUGGUCGGAAGCGCCCAGGCGUGACCUGCUCCGGGGACCGUGGCAGGUGGGGAGUUUGACUGGGGCGGUAUACCUGUCACACCAUAAUGCAGGUAUCCUAAGGUGAGCUCAGGGAGGACAGAAACCUCCUGUGGAGCAGAAGGGCAAAAGCUCGCUUGAUCUUGAUUUUCAGUACGAGUACAGACCAUGAAAGCGGGGCCUCACGAUCCUUCUGCCCUUUCGGGUUUUAAGCAGGAGGUGUUAGAAAAGUUACCACAGGGAUAACUGGCUUGUAGCAGCCAAGCGUUCAUAGCGAUGUCGCUUUUUGUUCCUUCGAUGUUGGCUCUUCCUUCCUAUCAUUGUGAAGCAGAAUUCACCAAGCGUUGGAUUGUUCACCCACUAAUAGGGAACGUGAGCUGGUUUUAGACUGUCGUGAGACAGGUUAGUUUUACCCUACUGAUGUUGUGUUGUUGCAAUAGUAAUCCUGCUGAGUACGAGAGGAACCGCAGUUUCAGACAUUUGGUGUAUGUGCUUGGCUGAGGAGCCAAUGGUGCGUAGCUACCAUCUGUGGGAUUAUGACUGAACGCCUCCAAGUCAGAAU